rnacentral:rRNA from 1 species
AACUAACGCUGGCGGCAUGCCUAACACAUGCAAGUCGUGCGAGAAAGUUCCUUCGGGAGCGAGUAAAGCGGCGCACGGGUGAAUAACACGUAGGUAACCUGCCCCCCAGUCUGGAACAACUAGAGAAAACUACUAGCUAAUGCCGGAUGAGACCACGAUCCUUCGGGGUUGGCGGCCAAAGAAUGGCCUCUACUUGUAAGCUAUCGCUGAGGGAGUGGGCCUGCGGGCCGAUUAGCUUGUUGGUGAGGUAACGGCUCACCAAGGCUGUGAUGGCUAGCUGGUCUGAGAGGAUGACCAGCCACACUGGGACUGAGACACGGCCCAGACUCCUACGGGAGGCAGCAGUGGGGGAAUAUUGGACAAUGGGGGAAACCCGUACGAUCCAGCAACGCCG